GAAAUACAGAAUGAUGAACUACCUACUUAUGAGGAACCUUUUAUUAAGUUUUUAUGACUUAGUUAUAAAAAUUGAACAUUUUAAUACUUUUUCAAUUACUAAAGUUUACAAAUGUUUGUGAUUUUAACGAGUUUUGUCAAACUAAUUAAACUUAAGAUGCUUUUUAAAAAAAUUCGCUCCCUUGCAUCUUUAAUAUUUUUGAAUAGCUAAGUAAUUACAUUUAUAUGGAACAAGCAGUUUAAACAGAAAACAUUUUUUAUCGACAUUCGACGUUAUAAGAAAAACUUUAAAACUGCUAAUGUUUAAAAACAAUAAAAACAAAAAUUAUAAAUAACUAAAAAUACCCCAAAAGCCCAAAAGUGACAAAAAUAGUUAGGUAGGUGGGUACAUGCCUCGAUGGUUGAUAAUUCUUGAUAUGCGCAGGUGACAGGUCUGAUAAAAAAAAAAAUUCUUCUCGAGACUUCAACGAUUAUUAUCUACAUAUUAUUUUGUGCUCGCACAAAUAUGACAGAUAAUAUUAUCUUAAAUCGUGAUACUAUAUUUAAUAUUUAUGUACUAUGUGCUUUGAGUACUUUGACCGUUCGACCAUAAACGUUAAUAAUACACGUUAUUAACUAUCGUUUAGUUAAGUACCUAUCGCUUGUUUGUAAAUAAUAAACUUUUAUUAUAUAUAUUAUAUCAUGUAUGGUUCUUACAAAAUUUGUUACUAGAAUCGUAGCAUACGAGUGAACUAGGGUCGAUAAAAAUCCCUGUACCUUUUGCCAUUUAAUAAUAUUCGUCGUACGAGCACGAACAGCCGAACGUCUUGGUCCAUGCGCAUCCAACAACUGAAGAAAACUACCAUCAGCUGCGACUCUGGCCCCCAUUAUUCCAUUUCGCAGUCUCCUCCUUGUCAGUCGUCAUGUCAAAUGACCUGAAUCGACUCCGGCUGCUGGAGAGUGUGUUCAAUAGAGUGACAGAGUUUGCCCGGACUGUGCACAGCAUACUGCCCACCAUCAGAGAGUGUGUUGAACUGCACGAGAGACUGUUAGACUCUAUCGGUCGUAUCCUAUCCCUGUUGCGGCUCAUACGUGACGGUCUUGUCGAACAAACGCCUGGGUUGACAAACGGACGGUCGAAGGGCUGACGGAUAGGUGAUACUAUCCGGAGUCAAUACGACUAUUCCUAAGAGCUCAAUUUGGUCACUUAGAUGCAAUAUUAGAAACUUCUUAGAUAACGCAUAUCAAAUGUGCAGUCAGUAUUGUUUGAGGUAGUUUACAGUUAUCAUAUUUUUUUAUAAAAGUUUAAAUUCUAAGUAUUGUAAAAAAAUAAAAUGAAGACUGGUGAUGUUUAAUUGGACAAAUUAAUUUAUGGCUACUGUAUUUUUAUUAUUUUUUUCUAAAUUUAAAAUAAUUGUUUAUGUUUAAGGUUGUUAAUUGAUUAUAUAAUAAUAUAAUAUAUUCCCUAUUGUA